UACGUAGGCAGCGAGCGUUGUUCGGAAUUACUGGGCGUAAAGAGUGUGUAGGCGGUGCUCUAAGUUCGGUGUGAAAUCUCCUGGCUCAACUGGGAGGGUGCGCCGGAAACUGGAGUGCUUGAGCGUGGGAGAGGAAAGCGGAAUUCCUGGUGUAGCGGUGAAAUGCGUAGAUAUCAGGAGGAACACCGGUGGCGAAGGCGGAUCUCUGGGCCGAUACUGACGCUGAGGAGCGAAAGCGUGGGGAGCGAACAGG
rnacentral:rRNA from 1 species